rnacentral:rRNA from 1 species
UUACCAGACUCCUACGGGAGGCAGCAGUGGGGAAUAUUGCACAAUGGGCGAAAGCCUGAUGCAGCAACGCCGCGUGAAGGAAGACGGUUUUCGGAUUGUAAACUUCUGUUCUUAGUGAAGAAUAAUGACGGUAACUAAGGAGCAAGCCACGGCUAACUACGUGCCAGCAGCCGCGGUAAUACGUAGGUGGCAAGCGUUGUCCGGAUUUACUGGGUGUAAAGGGCGUGCAGCCGGAGAGACAAGUCAGAUGUGAAAUCCACGGGCUCAACCCGUGAACUGCAUUUGAAACUGUUUCCCUUGAGUGUCGGAGAGGUAAUCGGAAUUCCUUGUGUAGCGGUGAAAUGCGUAGAUAUAAGGAAGAACACCAGUGGCGAAGGCGGAUUACUGGACGAUAACUGACGGUGAGGCGCGAAAGCGUGGGGAGCAAACAGGAUUAGAUACCCCUGUAC